UAAGUCUGCCAGCUGUCGUUUGGACCUAUUGUCACUGUAACAAGUCCCCAGCGAGCUCGCAGCGGUAACAGCUAUUUUAAUGAUUAAUAAACAUGACUGUUCUGCAUUGGAAUGACAACUCUGCAUAAACAGCUAGGUACAAACUGAGAAACGGAGUAAAAUGAUUCAGGCACAGUCUGGCUAGGCAUCACUGACAGACAAGGUAGACCAAAACAUAUGCUGCCUUGUUUCCCGAGGUACAGAAGAUAGAGAUGGAAAAAGGGUCAAAUGGCAGUUUAUUGCAUGACGCAACGGAAUUAACAAGGUAACACCACGAUCAACCCUCGCACCUGUCCCUCCCCCAGGAAUCCAGCCAGCAAUGGGAGCAGGGAGGACAUGUCUGUCUUCAGGAAUAGUUCAUGUCUGUCAGUAAGCUGGGAGUCAGCUCUCUCCAUUACAUCACACCAUUCUACACCAGUGGCUCUGGGAGCCUGCCAACUCUCACUUCAUUCACAGGCUCACUGUGGACCAGGGAGUGGGUCAGGGGGGCUUGACCUUUGGGCGGUUAUCCAUAGGCCGGACUACCAAUUGUACACUAUUUCGGUUACUUUAACUUCUGUUUUAGACAUGAAAAUCUAAUACUUAGAGUAGUUAAAUACUAAAUAUUUGUGGAAAUUUAUAAAUAUUGAUGGCAAUAGGUCGGACUACCAAUUGUACACUAUUUCGGUUACUUUAACUGUUGUAGACAUGGAAAUCUCACACUGAGGGCGGUUAAAUACUAAAUAUUUGUAUACAUUUUAAAAUAUUAAUGUGAAGGUGGACUUGCAUAGGUUGAACUACCACUUGUACACUACUUCAGUCACUUUGACUGUUUUAGACAUGGAAACAAAAUAGUAAUACUGAUGUUGGUAAAAUACUAAAUAUUU